rnacentral:rRNA from 1 species
CACGUAGGCACCAAGCGUUGUCCGGAUUUAUUGGGCGUAAAGAGCUCGUAGGCGGUUCGGUAAGUCGGGUGUGAAGACUCUGGGCUCAACCCAGAGCCGCCACCCGAUACUGGCAGGCUUGAAUUCGGGAGAGGGAUGUGGAAUUCCAGGUGUAGCGGUGAAAUGCGUAGAUAUCUGGAGGAACACCGGUGGCGAAGGCGGCAUCCUGGACCGAUAUUGACGCUGAUGCGCGAAAGCCAGGGGAGCAAACGGG